GAUGUUAAGGCUUUCAAAGCUAGCAUGGAUAAACAGCAGUAGCUAAAACCCUUCACGAUUGCUGCUCUAAUUAAAGCCAGGCGAUCAAUGAAGGAUUUACAAUGUCAAGCUGCUAAAUCUUUCUCCUGAUUCCCAUUAACAGGGUAAGGGUGAUGUCGGAACAAUCACACACACGGGCUCGUCUCCAAGCCCAGAGGUGGUUCAAUCGCUUCCAGAUGACAGCAGCAUCCCAGUCAGCGAUAAAUCAGUGAGGACACGCAGAUGGAUGGAUCCUGGAAGAAUUGGUGAUGAGGAAAAAUUAUGAGAAAGGGAAAUAAGUUCAAGAAUAUAAUGGAGGUUUAUGAAUAAUAAAUG